AGUGAACGCUGGCGGUAGGCCUAACACAUGCAAGUCGAACGGCAGCACAGUAAGAGCUUGCUCUUACGGGUGGCGAGUGGCGGACGGGUGAGGAAUACAUCGGAAUCUACUUUUUCGUGGGGGAUAACGUAGGGAAACUUACGCUAAUACCGCAUACGACCUACGGGUGAAAGCAGGGGAUCUUCGGACCUUGCGCGAUUAAAUGAGCCGAUGUCGGAUUAGCUAGUUGGCGGGGUAAAGGCCCACCAAGGCGACGAUCCGUAGCUGGUCUGAGAGGAUGAUCAGCCACACUGGAACUGAGACACGGUCCAGGCUCCUACGGGAGGCAGCAGUGGGGAAUAUUGGACAAUGGGCGCAAGCCUGAUCCAGCCAUACCGCGUGGGUGAAGAAGGCCUUCGGGUUGUAAAGCCCUUUUGUUGGGAAAGAAAAGCAGCAGGUUAAUACCCCGCUGUUCUGACGGUACCCAAAGAAUAAGCACCGGCUAACUUCGUG
rnacentral:rRNA from 1 species